rnacentral:rRNA from 1 species
CCUACGGAGAGCUGCAGUGGGGAAUAUUGGACAAUGGGCGAAAGCCUGAUCCAGCCAUGCCGCGUGUGUGAAGAAGGCCUUCGGGUUGUAAAGCACUGUCAGUGGGGAAGAAAGCCUUUGGGCUAAUACCCUCGAGGAAGGACAUCACCCACAGAAGAAGCACCGGCUAACUCCGUGCCAGCAGCCGCGGUAAUACGGAGGGUGCGAGCGUUAAUCGGAAUUACUGGGCGUAAAGCGCGCGUAGGCGGUCUGAUAAGCCGGUUGUGAAAGCCCCGGGCUCAACCUGGGAACGGCAUCCGGAACUGUCAGGCUAGAGUGCAGGAGAGGAAGGUAGAAUUCCAGGUGUAGCGGUGAAAUGCGUAGAGAUCGGGAGGAAUACCAGUGGCGAAGGCGGCCUUCUGGACUGAAACUGACGCUGAGGUGCGAAAGCGUGGGUAGCAAACAGGAUUAGAUACCCGGGUAGUC